rnacentral:rRNA from 1 species
AUUGAACGCUAGCGGGAUGCCUUACACAUGCAAGUCGAACGGCAGCGCGGACUUCGGUCUGGCGGCGAGUGGCGAACGGGUGAGUAAUGUAUCGGAACGUGCCCAGUAGCGGGGGACAACCACUCGAAAGAGUGGCUAAUACCGCAUACGCCCUACGGGGAAAGGGGGGGAUCGCAAGACCUCUCACUAUUGGAGCGGCCGAUAUCGGAUUAGCUAGUUGGUGGGGUAAAGGCCUACCAAGGCGACGAUCCGUAGCUGGUUUGAGAGGACGACCAGCCACACUGGGACUGAGACACGGCCCAGACUCCUACGGGAGGCAGCAGUGGGGAAUUUUGGACAAUGGGGGAAACCCUGAUCCAGCCAUUCCGCGUGUGCGAUGAAGGCCUUCGGGUUGUAAAGCACUUUUGGCAGGAAAGAAAUCGUGUGGGUUAAUACCCUGCGCGGAUGACGGUACCUGCAGAAUAAGCACCGGCUAACUACGUG